CAGUCGCCACGGGAAUACGAAGGGGGCUAGCGUUGCUCGGAAUUACUGGGCGUAAAGGGAGCGUAGGCGGACAUUUAAGUCAGGGGUGAAAUCCCAGAGCUCAACUCUGGAACUGCCUUUGAUACUGGGUGUCUUGUGUGUGAUAGAGGUAUGUGGAACUCCGAGUGUAGAGGUGAAAUUCGUAGAUAUUCGGAAGAACACCAGUGGCGAAGGCGACAUACUGGAUCAUUACUGACGCUGAGGCUCGAAAGCGUGGGGAGCAAACAGGAUUAGAUACCCGCGUAGUCCCUGUCUCUUAUAC
rnacentral:rRNA from 1 species